GACGAACGCUGGCGGCGUGCUUAACACAUGCAAGUCGAACGGAAAGGCCCUGCUUUUGUGGGGUGCUCGAGUGGCGAACGGGUGAGUAACACGUGAGUAACCUGCCCUUGACUUUGGGAUAACUUCAGGAAACUGGGGCUAAUACCGGAUAGGAUCUCCUGCUGCAUGGUGGGGGUUGGAAAGUUUCGGCGGUUGGGGAUGGACUCGCGGCUUAUCAGCUUGUUGGGGGGGUAGUUGCUUACCAAGGCUUUGACGGGUAGCCCGCCUGAGAGGGUGACCGGGCACAUUGGGACUGCGAUACGGCGCAGACUCCUACGGGAGGCAGCAGUGGGGAAUAUUGCACAAUGGGCGGACGCCUGAUGCAGCAGCGCCGCGUGCGGGAUGACGGCUUUCGGGUUGUAAACCGCUUUCGCCUGUGACGAAGCGUGAGUGACGGUACUGGGUAAAGAAGCACCGGCUAACUACGUG
rnacentral:rRNA from 1 species